rnacentral:misc_RNA from 1 species
GAUGAAGAACGCAGCGAAAUGCGAUAAGUAAUGUGAAUUGCAGAAUUCAGUGAAUCAUCGAAUCUUUGAACGCACCUUGCGCCCUUUGGCCAUUCCGAAGGGCAUGCCUGUUUGAGUAUCAUGAACACCUCAACUCUUUAUGGUUUUCCAUGAUGAGCUUGGACUCUGGGGGUUUUGCUGGCUCACAGUCGGCUCCUCUAAAAUGAAUCAGCUUACCAGUGUUUGGUGGGUAUCAUGGGUUUGAUAACUAUCUACGCUUGUGGUUUUCCACCAGGUAACCUUCAGCAGUGGAGGUUCGCUGGAGCUCAUAGAUGUCUCUCCUCAGUGAGGACAGCCCUUUGAAUGUUUGAUCUCAAAUCAGGUAGGACUACCCGCUGAACUUAAGCAUAUCAAUAAGCGGAGGA